GUAUAAAAGGCGUCAAGAUCGCGACGCUCAUUCUUGCACUCACCACUGACAGCGAGAGCCACGUUGCUCUGGUCCACCUGCUGCGCCGGCCGUACAACAGCGUGUAAAAGUGACAAGCGUCUAGUUGCACUUUGGGCGUGCUUCCAUCUUGCAAGCUCAAACGUUUGCAGAAGCUAGCGUUAGCAGUUAACAUCUCCAACAACCACCAACACGCAUUUAUCUGGCGUGCAACCAAACAAAGUAAGCAUUUAACGCAACGUCUGGACGACAGCGCCGUUUGGCCGAAGGUGCAAACCCUCAAAACGAGCCCGUCAUGGCCGACUGACUUUGCAGGCUUGCAUCUGGAACAGAGGGAGCAGGGUCCAAAAUGGCCACCUUGCAGUCUUCUCAUGGCUUCAUGGGACACUUGCAGACGAGCGAGCUGUGGUUGGAGAGACGUCCGGUGGUGCCCUCCAUUCGUCACUGGUGAAACACGCACGCGUCCAAAUGUUUGACACAUGUCAAACAUUUCCGCAUGUUAUUUGUCUUUUGUCCACUAGGUGGUGCCAAAGGACCUAGCUUCUGUAGCAUGGCUCUCCUGGUGUGUAUCUACAAGGUUUUGAACCUGUGGAAUCAUCAACCUCUUGUCUGACCUGCUGAUAGAGCACUUUCCAGUAAAGAUGCAGUUGGGAAUCCGCUACCUGCUGGCCAAAGAUAAAAGCUCUCCAAAACCAUGCAACCUUGAGGUGUCAAUCCUGGAGAAUAUUCCCGACAUUUCAGGAACUCUGCCUGUGCACCAGCGACUGGCUGCUUCCACUCUACAGCAGAGGUGGCAAAUCCAGGUCCAGAAAGUGAAAACCCUGCCACAGUUUGUCUUACACCUCCGAGCGCGUACACCUGGGUCUGUGCUGCCUGAAAAGCUCUCCGCUGUGUGGGGCAUUCUCUGGUUGUCGCGGAAGCUGAGGACAAGAGCAAAGCCGCAUACCAGCAGCACCUUGGUGUUCUUAUUUACUCGGCGCUAAGGCAACCUGAGAAGAAGCAAGAAACCAAAUUUACUUCCUGGGUCAUGCAGCAAGGAAUGAAAUUGGCUUGCUUGUCAUGCAGCUUGCAGUACUCUGUGCCAUAAACAACUCUACUUGCGCACUGGUCCAGGCAUGGUGCACCACUGGCCGACCACUCGUCCCACUUGGCAAUGAGCAGACAGCCAUUCAACUUGUUACUUUGUUGUGAUUGAUUGUUUACUCUGCAAAAGAAAUAAAGCUUUAUUACAAAUAAUGCAAA